rnacentral:lncRNA from 1 species
GGACGGCCAUGUGCGCGGCGGAGAGGCCGGGUGGCCACCGAACCUUCCCGCCUGUUCUGCGGUGGGUAGGAGUUUGGAAACUAAUGUUCCUGUGCUAACCUUCGUGUCUCUGUGACAUGACUGUUGAAAGACGGAGAGUGCGGAAUCUUUGGAGUUUUAAGCUUGCCAACUGUGCGGCCUAGCAGAAUCCUGGGAGACGGAAGGACAGCCAAGAGGCUAGGAUUUACCUUUAAGUGUCCCUAGAUUCAACUAGGCAGACUGGGACGGGAGACGCUGUGAAGGUACCAGGGAAGGAACGAGUGAGGUUCCUUUUCCACUUUUUCAUAAACUCAACAGUCAGGUUCAUGACGAAGAUAUAGAUAUUUCUGUAGAUUUUUUCCCCAACAUUCUAAUUAUGCCUCAUGUUUCGUAGAUCCUAGUAACUGCUUGGAUUACUGCCACCUCAGAGGUAGAGAUCUGUUUUUCCGUGGCUGGAAUGCCAAAAAUUUUGUUGUAUUUUAUUAAGAAAGUAGCAAAAGUUUGGAGAUUUGCAAAGUUAAAAAAAAAAAAAAAAAA